GUCUACUGCCAUACCGCCCUGAAUGUACCUGAUCUCGUCUGAUCUCAGAAGCUAAGCAGGGUUAGUUACUGGUUAGUACUUGGAUGGGAGACCUUAAACAAAAUACAAAAAUAACU
rnacentral:rRNA from 1 species